GACGAACGCUGGCGGCGUGCUUAACACAUGCAAGUCGAACGGUAAGGCCCUUCGGGGUACACGAGUGGCGAACGGGUGAGUAACACGUGGGUGAUCUGCCCUGCACUUCGGGAUAAGCCUGGGAAACCGGGUCUAAUACCGGAUAGGACUCCGGACUGCAUGGUCUGGGGUGGAAAGCUUUUGCGGUGUGGGAUGGGCCCGCGGCCUAUCAGCUUGUUGGUGGGGUGAUGGCCUACCAAGGCGACGACGGGUAGCCGGCCUGAGAGGGUGACCGGCCACACUGGGACUGAGAUACGGCCCAGACUCCUACGGGAGGCAGCAGUGGGGAAUAUUGCACAAUGGGCGCAAGCUUGAUGCAGCGACGCCGCGUGAGGGAUGACGGCCUUCGGGUUGUAAACCUCUUUCAGCAUCGACGAAGCGAAAGUGACGGUAGGUGCAGAAGAAGGACCGGCCAACUACGUGCCAGCCGCCGCAGUAA
rnacentral:rRNA from 1 species